rnacentral:snRNA from 1 species
GUGUUCCCUUCUGCAGCACAUAUACUAAAANUGGAAUGAUACAGAGACGAUUAGCAUGGUCCCUGGACAAGAAUGACACACAAAUACAUGUGGAACUUAUCAGCAUU